GACGAACGCUGGCUGCGUGCUUAACACAUGCAAGUCGAACGCUGAAGCCCCAGCUUGCUGGGGUGGAUGAGUGGCGAACGGGUGAGUAACACGUGAGUAACCUGCCCCUGACUUCGGGAUAAGCCCGGGAAACUGGGUCUAAUACCGGAUACGACUAUCGGACGCAUGUCGGGUGGUGGAAAGUUUUUUCGGUUGGGGAUGGGGUCGCGGUCUAUCAGUUUGUUGGUGAGGUAAUGGCGCACCAAGACGACGACGGGUAGCCGGCCUGGGAGGGCGAACGGACACACUGGGACUGAGACACGGCCCAGACUCCGACGUGAGGCAGCAGUGGGGAAUAUUGCACAAAGGGGGAAACCCUGAUGCAGCGACGCAGCGGGCGGGAUGACGGCCUUCGGGUUGUAAACCGCUUUCAGCAGGGAAGAAGCCUUCGGGUGACGGUACCUGCAGAAGAAGUACCGGCUAACUACGUG
rnacentral:rRNA from 1 species